GGAGAGAGAUGAGAGGAGGUCGAGGGAGGGAAAGAAGGAGCGAGAGAGAAUGGAGGAGGAAGGAGAGAAGGUGUAGAGUGAUGGCAGGAUGGAGAGGGUGAAAGAACGGGGAGAGAAGAUAAUGAGGGGGUGUAAAGAGGAGGUUAGGGUGAGAAGAGACAGACAUGAGAUAAACGACAAAAACGUCAACCUUGUGACACUCAUCGUUUCCCAUUGACUGCAAUGUAUCAAGAAAAACGUCCGAUAAUGUGACAUUUUACCUUUUUUUGCGAGAAACGUGCCAGGAUGACGUUUUCCUAUGAUAUUAUGUUGGGUGAGCAGAGCAGACUGAACCAGACCCCCUGGAGAUGUCCCCCUGGUGAGUGGCAAUCGUCUGUCAGCACUCCAAAAGACCAUUUUCCCUGCAGCGCUCCCUGGACUCUCCCAACUCACACUAGUGUUGGUGCAUCGCUGACCUACAAACCACAACCACUAGUUGCCUCCUCUAUUCCUGUUUGCUGUGUGUGUAUGACUGUUUGGUGUGUGUGACUGUUUGGUGUGUGUGUGUGUGACUGUUUGGUGUGUGUGUCUGUUUGGUGUGUCUGUUUGGUGUGUGUGUGUGUGUGUGUCUCCGGUGUGUGUGUCUGUUUGGGGUGUGUGUGUGUGUGUGUGUGUGUGUGUGUGUGUGUGUGUGUGUGUGUACCUGUGUGUCUGUUUGGUUUGUGUGUGUGUGUGUGUGUGUGUACCUGUGUGUCUGUUUGGUUUGUGUGUCUGUUCGGUUUGUGAUAAUAAAGUGUGGAUUGUAUUUGUAAUUUAUUUUAUUUAACCUUUAUUUAACUAGGCAAGUCAAUUAAGAACAAAUUCUUAUUUACAAUGACGGCCUACCCCGGCCAAACCCGGACGACGCUGGGCCAAUUGUGCGCCACCCUAUGGGACUCCCAAUCACAGCCGGUUGUGAUACAGCCUGUCUCUUGCUGGUCAUUUACGUUCUCUAACCGGGACGCCGGGACAGUUGCAUCCAUAUCUAAAGCACCACCUUUAUCAAAGUCCACCACCACAUGGUGGCGCUCUUUUUCAGAUACUGUGUCUUGUUCCAGGGGGCCGUAUGUGUGACACUGUGUCUUGUUCCAGGGGUCGUAUGUGUGACACUGUGUCUUGUUCUAGGGGGCCGUAUGUGUGACACUGUGUCUUGUUCUAGGGGGCCAUAUGUGUGACACUGUGUCUUGUUCUAGGGGGCCAUAUGUGUGACACUGUGUCUUGUUCUAGGGGGCCAUAUGUGUGACACUGUGUCUUGUUCUAGGGGGCCAUAUGUGUGACACUGUGUCUUGUUCUAGGGGGCCAUAUGUGUGACACUGUGUCUUGUUCCAGGGGGCCGUAUGUGUGACACUGUGUCUUGUUACAGGGGGCCUUAUGUGUGACACUGUGUCUUGUUCCAGGGGGCCGUAUGUGGCGGCCUUUGCUCUUACCUGGGAGAUGCCAGCCCAGACACCAGAGGGUCCUUCUGUGCCAACACUGGACUCCCCUGUGAUUGCCGCAACAGCUCCUGUCCUAUUGGAGGGACAAAACUAUAGGAAUACAUGGAAUACUGUAGCAGACUCCUAUGCAAAUUCAAAAGUGUACUUUAUAGCAGAGUCCAUAGCAACAAAAAAAUACUGCCUGCACCAACAUGUGUACAUCACCUCUCUGAUGCUUUCCAUCAAAAAAUGUGUGUUGCGCUGUCCAGCAGGAUCUGACAUGUUUGACACCACCUGCAUCAUAGGAGAGAACAUUUACAAAAGUGCAAAGGAUCUGCAUGGUAAGGCCAGUCAGGAGGUGUGGGAUUCUGUGAUUUUGGGAUUCUGACCCAGCAGGACCUGUUAACCAGCUCGGGGCCACAGCUUCACCGCAGAAACUAUAAACGGAGGAGGAGAUCUCAAUUUCAAGGUUAGCAACCCUUCUCCGCUUUUCAUUGUACUAUAUUUAGAUCAUUGUCAUGUAGAUAACCCCUCUUCAGUGUAUUGAAUUGUUCAGAAACGGGGGCUUUUUGAGGGUGACCCGUUUUGGCAAGGCAUUAGAGAUACACUGCUUGGACUUCCCUCCAAUGAGACACAGGACUGCCACCACCCCAAACCUGUUUUCUUCAGCACUGGAGAGGUGUGAGCACUGUUCUUUUUCAGCCUUUUUCCAUUGUAGCCCCAGCGCAGCCUAUCACUUUCCAUGGGCUUAAACUGUGGUGUUACCCUAGGGGAGUUGUGUUUCCAAAGCUAGGACUGUGUGUCAGUGUACUGUAACAUGAUGUCACCAUGGAGAUGUGACCGUGCUGUUCUCUCUGGCCUAGCUGACCUGGGCCCUCCCGUGUCACACAAACAUUGUGGGCGUCCAGAUGAUCACCACAGGACCUGUGGCCAUUGUGGCUAUCCCUGGAGAAAUGACGUGAGUUUCCGCUACAGUCUGAACGUGUGUGAGUGGUUGAACUUAAUAAACCCUCAUUUGAUUUUCCUUCCAAUGCUGUCAUGGAAAAUGUGAUUAAGGAACAGAUGUGUUGGACUUGGACUUGAGAUGGAAUAGGUUGUGACUCGCAGGUCACGCGUUAAGGCGCACAUGAAAGUACAAUGAAAAUCAAUGUUGUUUUGAAGAGAACAGACAGGCCGCAGUGUUUGUUUAGCUGACGUGUUGAAGGACAUGUUGGUUGAAUUCUGUUUACUUUACUCGUGUUUUGUAGCACCAUGUCAGGGGAGGCCGUCAAGCACGUGAGAAUCAAAUAUCACACACACACACACACACACACACACACACACACACACACAUACAUGCACACCCGCUCAUUAAGGCAAAUAUUCUGUUUGCAUUUUUUUGGUAUUACAUUUGAAUGUGUUAUUCAGAUGACCUUUGUUUGUUGAUAAGGAACUGGAGGCUCAGGGAACGUUCAGUAAUGCAGAGGUGGUCGUUGCUGGCCUGUGUAGCAUCUACUCAUUACAUCACCACCUAUGAGGAGUACCAGGUGCGAGAGAAGAAGUGAGAUUUGAAGUGGUAUCAGAUCGCUGCCCCGGAUCUGAUCGCAAAAUGGCUGACAAUCACUUAUUACGGUUAUUUCUCGAAGAUCCAGCGCUGCAGAGGAGCAUCCACCAUCUCUGCAUAUAUCCAGAAGUUUUGAGGCCAUUGCAGAGGUGAGGACCACAUACUGCACAGUAAACUGGGAUGACGUUCGCACAGAUGCAUCUUGGGAGACAAGGUUUAACUAGGUAAAGAAUGGAGCAGAGAGUAAUGUUAGCAUUGAGUGGCACAUCCUCCUGUCAGCCCAGACGUUCUCCUACCGGAUCAGACACUUUGCACACUACAAACAGAGGAAGGGGAUCACAGAUCCUGUGAUUCCAGUGAAUGGGGGUGUGUCAGAGCUCUUCAGAGUCUCCAAAAGAACGUAUUAUUACUAUCCGCUGGUCAUUGAGUAAGACCAAAUAGGGCACAUUAUAGUGUACACUUCUAGUGACCCACAUUUGAUGAUGUAUUAAUAUUCUCUAUUUCAAUGCAGUUCAAUGUAUGUUUAGCAUUGAAGCACUAAAUAAGACCAGUGCUUCGAUACGCAACCGGCCUUUGGGUUGACGGGCAACAAGCCAUUGCGCUGAAUGGAGGCUGUGCUCAACAGGAUGACGGCGGAAAUAUGUUUUGAAUGUAGGGCAGCUUCAGUGCUCUUCCAUAGCUCAUCUCCCAUGGAAAUUAAGAUAAUUUGUUUAUGAUCAGUUUAUUCACGUUUUUUUGUGUGUGUAAUUAUGUACAGUGCUUAUUUUGAAUAGAAUUAAAUGAUUUAAAUAUUGUG